GGAGGGCGCGCGCGCGCACGUGCCCGUCUACCUGCGCCGCGCCUCAGGAGGCGGUUACCCGCAACGGCCGGUGGGGGGGGGCGGGGAAACGGGGCGUCCCGGAGGGACCGGUGCCUCCCCCCCCCCCCCUUCUCCUCCGNNNNNNNNNNCACGGCUCUCCGCCAGUGGCGGAUUACCGGCUCGGCUGCCAACCGUCAAACAUGGGGAGAGGAUGCGGGAGGGCUGCCCCUCCGCGCCGUAGGCCCGCCCCGGUGUGGCUUGAAGGGGGAGCCGCGCUCGCCGGCAAAUUUCAGGGCGGAAGGCAAUCCGGCAAGGUUCCUGCCACCUAUAAGUACAUGCAGGUUCCAAGUGCCAGGAUGAUACUGUCAGCUGAUUCAAAUUCAACAGGCUUCUUAGAUUGAGAACCCUCCAGAUCAAUAGAAGCUUGAUAUCAUUAAGAGACUGGGGCUCAUGAACUCACGUUUCUUGUGUGUGAUGUUGGACAAUACUGAUACACAGAAAAUUAAAUAGUUAGUGCAUCUUCAUAGUAAUGGUUGACUCUGCUUUCCUUAAAAUUAGUUAGAGGCGUCCCAACAUUUGAGUUUAAAAGCACAACUUCACAGAAAGCCUGAGCUCUCAUACUGUAUUGAAGUUGUUUAUUUUUGAACUUCAGCAGCUGUGAAGCAGUUACUGUAAAAAACCAUCAAGUAGUUUCCAGUUACAGGUUUCAAGGUUUUGAAAGUUGUUUUAUCUGCAAAAUAGUGAUAACUAUGGUCUAUAAACAAGUGUAGACUUACAGGGUAGAGGAAGGAGGAGCUGGGGAGAGGAAGUUAGGCUGUAACCACCAUAUGGUUUGUACUGCGCUGGGAGGUACUAUGCUGUGAGUCACACACUACAGUUGCAGCUAUUUCCAGCUCUCAUUAAAAGAAAUUCUCAACUUUUGAGCAACUGCGCUGUUUCAUAAUGAACUCUGCUACAUUUAAUGAUCUGAGAUCUUCGGAAGGGAAAAAAAAAUAUCUUUAGAGCUAGCAAAAUUAUUUGUUGCAAGUGUAAAGACUGCAAUAUGCUCUGCUUUAAAAUAGAUGUUCUGUGCAGAGGGAGUUGCUUUCCCCAAAUAUUUAUGGUGUAGCUGUAAUAUUAGUCUAUGUAUGGUAAUCUUUUUUUCUGAUUUUUUUCCUUAGUGAUAAUAUUUAUGAUAGCAG
rnacentral:lncRNA from 1 species